rnacentral:rRNA from 1 species
CAGUCGCCACGGGAAUACGUAGGUGGCGAGCGUUGUCCGGAAUUAUUGGGCGUAAAGGGCUCGCAGGCGGUUUCUUAAGUCUGAUGUGAAAGCCCCCGGCUCAACCGGGGAGGGUCACUGGAAACUGGGAAACUUGAGUGCAGAAGAGGAGAGUGGAAUUCCACGUGUAGCGGUGAAAUGCGUAGAGAUGUGGAGGAACACCAGUGGCGAAGGCGACUCUCUGGUCUGUAACUGACGCUGAGGAGCGAAAGCGUGGGGAGCGAACAGGAUUAGAUACCCCCGUAGUCCCUGUCUCUUAUAC